rnacentral:rRNA from 1 species
GACAGAGGGUGCGAACGUUGCUCGGAAUUACUGGGCGUAAAGCGCGUGUAGGCGGGUGAUCAAGUCAGGUGUGAAAUCCCCGGGCUCAACCCGGGAACUGCGUCCGAUACUGGAAGGCUUGAAUCCGGGAGAGGGAUGUGGAAUUCCAGGUGUAGCGGUGAAAUGCGUAGAUAUCUGGAGGAACACCGGUGGCGAAGGCGACAUCCUGGACCGGUAUUGACGCUGAGGCGCGAAAGCCAGGGGAGCAAACGGG